rnacentral:rRNA from 1 species
AACGGCGAGUGAAGCGGCAAAAGCUCAAAUUUGAAAGCUAGCACCUUCGGUGUUCGCGUUGUAAUUUGAAGAUAGUUUCCUUGAGUAGUCCUUUAUCUAUGUUCCUUGGAACAGGACGUCAUAGAGGGUGAGAACCCCGUAUGAUUUUGGAUACUACUCUUUGUGGGAUUCUAUCGAAGAGUCGAGUUGUUUGGGAAU